AUCUUUAAAUUCUCCCCCUCCUCUCAGGGCGAAAAUCACAAAAUUCAGAGUGGAUCCAGAUCAGGUGGUUUUUCGUUUCCAGGAGGAUUCUAGUCUCCUGUUUGAAAUCAGGAACCUGGAUUUCAGGGUGGAACUUCAACAAGACAUCAAUAUUUGUUUCUUUGGAAAGUUUAAUUUGCACUCAAGUACGGUCACCUUGACAGGAUCAGACAUGAUGAGCACGAUUCAAUUGAGACUGAACCGAAAUCACAGAGGACACCUGAAUGCGGAGAACUUGAAGUGUGAAGUCAGUGGCAAUAAUGUUGAGUCAGAGGUCAACAGCAAACUGAGAAUUCCGAACUUGCUUUACCAGUGGAUCAUUACCAACAA